rnacentral:rRNA from 1 species
UGUGAGCUCGAUGAGUAGGGCGGGACACGUGGUAUCCUGUCUGAAUAUGGGGGGACCAUCCUCCAAGGCUAAAUACUCCUGACUGACCGAUAGUGAACCAGUACCGUGAGGGAAAGGCGAAAAGAACCCCGGCGAGGGGAGUGAAAAAGAACCUGAAACCGUGUACGUACAAGCAGUGGGAGCACAGGUUUACCUGUGUGACUGCGUACCUUUUGUAUAAUGGGUCAGCGACUUAUAUUCUGUAGCAAGGUUAACCGAAUAGGGGAGCCGGAGGGAAACCGAGUCUUAAUUGGGCGUUAAGUUGCAGGGUAUAGACCCGAAACCCGGUGAUCUAGCCAUGGGCAGGUUGAAGGUUGGGUAACACUAACUGGAGGACCGAACCGACUAAUGUUGAAAAAUUAGCGGAUGACCUGUGGCUGGGGGUGAAAGGCCAAUCAAACCGGGAGAUAGCUGGUUCUCCCCGAAAGCUAUUUAGGUAGCGCCUCGUGAAUUCAUCUCCGGGGGUAGAGCACUGUUUCGGCUAGGGGGCCAUCCCGGCUUACCAACCCGAUGCAAACUGCGAAUACCGGAGAAUGUUAUCACGGGAGACACACGGCGGGUGCUAACGUCCGUCGUGAAGAGGGAAACAACCCAGACCGCCAGCUAAGGUCCCAAAGUCAUGGUUAAGUGGGAAACGAUGUGGGAAGGCCCAGACAGCCAGGAUGUUGGCUUAGAAGCAGCCAUCAUUUAAAGAAAGCGUAAUAGCUCACUGGUCGAGUCGGCCUGCGCGGAAGAUGUAACGGGGCUAAACCAUGCACCGAAGCUGCGGCAGCGACGCUUAUGCGUUGUUGGGUAGGGGAGCGUUCUGUAAGCCUGUGAAGGUGGCCUGUGAGGGUUGCUGGAGGUAUCAGAAGUGCGAAUGCU